rnacentral:rRNA from 1 species
GAUGAACGCUGGCGGCGUGCCUAAUACAUGCAAGUCGAGCGAACGGACGAGAAGCUUGCUUCUCUGAUGCUAGCGGCGGACGGGUGAGUAACACGUGGAUAACGUACCUAUAAGACUGGGAUAUCUUCGGGACACCGGAGCUAAUACCGGAGAAUCUUUUGAACCGCAUGGUUCAAAAGUGAAAGACGGUCUUGCUGUCACUUAUAGAUGGAUCCGCGCUGCAUUAGCUAGUUGUUAAGGUAACGGCUUACCAAGGCAACGAUGCGUAGCCGACCUGAGAGAGUGAUCGGCCACACUGGAACUGAGACAGGGUCCAGACUCCUACGGGAGGCAGCAGUAGGGAAUCGUCCGCAAUGGUCGAAAGCAUGACGGAGCAACGCCGCGUGAGAGAUGAAGGUCUUCGGAGCGUAAAACUCUGUUAUUAGGGAAGAACAUAUGUGUAAGGAACUGUGCACAUCUUGACGGUACCUAAUCAGAAAGCCACGGCUAACUACGUG